rnacentral:piRNA from 1 species
UGGGAUAGGUUUCUCCUAAGGAGCCAUGC